ACAGGCCACCUCCAAGCCUUGUGCUGGCAAGUCUUGGUGUGCACCAUGAUGUCUGUAACAUACUAGGGCAUCUGAUGGAGGACUGGAAGAUCUUGGAGGCAUGAAGGGGCCCAUCUGAUUCUCCUCUUGUUGCCUACAGCAACCUGCCCAGUACCUGGAGUAAUUGCUCAAGAACUAUUUGCUGGAGAAAUGAAUAAACACAGGGACGAAUGCCCAGCAAACCCAUGUGUGGCAUAGCGAAGGGAUCCGACACUCCCCAAAAAGUGCUGGAGGGGUUCUUCGUGUCCCACUGUGAGCCCGGCUGAGUAGGGCACUGCAACAUGAGUAAUUCUGGACCAGGAGCAUGAAGUGAAGCACGCUGGGAAAUUUUGGCUACAUGACACUCUGAUAGCUUGCUCUGGAUGGCCAAAAAUGGGUAGAACCUGUGUCCUUGGGUUGUCCCCCUGGUGAAGCACACCUGCCCACCGUCCUCACGUAGGCUCACCAAUUUGCAGGAGAAAAUGCUGUCUACCCUCAUCCUUUCAGAGUUGUCACUGUGCCCUUCUGCAGAGGUGUUUGCAUAUCUCUGCUCUAACUGUCCGCACCUGCAAGCAGGGGCCUGGAGAUUUUUACACCGGGAUGCAGACCUGCUCGAGUGUUUCCAGACUAAAUCCCAGGCAGAAGCAGUGUUCUUCCUUCCUGUGCCUGAAGAGAGUCACUGUGAGUGAGAGACAAGUUCUUCCUUGGCAAGGCUCUGCCUAUGUUUCUCCUGGCUGCUCAGCCCAGCUCUGUGUGUAAGAAGAGAAGAAAACAGUGCCCAUGGCAACCCCUGAAUGUUGGCUACUGUUCCAUCUCAAACUGAACCAUUCCCAAUAGUCUUUUAGCAGACCUGACUUAGUAGUUUUGGAAUCUGUGACUUCUAUCUGGACAAAGUCAUGGAGCCACCAAGAGGCACGUGGCUUUAUAGAGAGAGCCUUGCUGGCAGGCCUGGACUACUGUCUUGGGGCAUGGAGAGUGCAGAAAAGUGAUGGGAUGUAUCCCUGAAUGGGAAACGACCCUACGUGGGCAGAGAAGAGAGGUCGAUGGUGAAAGGAUGCAUGACGUGGAAGGGAAGGGGCCUCACUGCUCGCUGAGAGGCUCGAUGUGUUGGCAAGACAGCCAGCAGCUCCAGGCUCACCUCCUCCCAGGUCCAAGUACAGCGGAGAGAAGAGGCCUCUGUGUGGCAGUUCCUCAAAUGAUUAAACACAGCUACCCUAAGACCCAGCAUUCCACAACUAGAGAGCAGAUCUUCAUGCAGGUGCUAUGUCAGGGACUGCAGCAAGAUGACCAGGUCCCUGCCUGGCCCUGUGGAACUCACGGCCUGGAGAGGGAGACAGACCCACCGACAGGCUCUUCCUCCCAGAGUGACAGGGGCAGCAUGGGGGGCGGGGAGU